rnacentral:rRNA from 1 species
CCUACGGGCGGCAGCAGUGGGGAAUAUUGCGCAAUGGGCGAAAGCCUGACGCAGCGACGCCGCGUGAGGGAUGAAGGUCUUCGGAUCGUAAACCUCUGUCAGCAGGGAAGAACGGUCACUGUGCUAAUCAGCAGUGAAUUGACGGUACCUGCAAAGGAAGCACCGGCUAACUCCGUGCCAGCAGCCGCGGUAAUACGGAGGGUGCGAGCGUUAAUCGGAAUUACUGGGCGUAAGGCGCUCGUAGGCGGUAUGUCAAGUCAAGAGUGAAAUCCCCGCGCUCAACGCGGGAACUGCCUUUGAAACUGGAAAACUGGAGGGUGUGAGAGGAAAGUGGAAUUCCAGGUGUAGGAGUGAAAUGCGUAGAUAUCUGGAGGAACAUCAGUGGCGAAGGCGACUAUCUGGCACAUAACUGACGCUGAGGAGCGAAAGCGUGGGUAGCAAACAGGAUUAGAUACCCCUGUAGUC